CCUACGGGUGGCUGCAGUCGAGAAUCAUUCACAAUGGGGGAAACCCUGAUGGUGCGACGCCGCGUGGGGGAAUGAAGGUCUUCGGAUUGUAAACCCCUGUCAUGUGGGAGCAAAUUAAAAAGAUAGUACCACAGGAGGAAGAGCCGGCUAAGUCUGGGUCAGCAGCCGCGGUAAUACAGAGGUCUCAGGCGUUGUUCGGAAUCACUGGGCGUAAAGCGUGCGUAGGUUGUUACGUAAAUCGUGUGUGAAAGGCGCGGACUCAACCCGCGGACGGCACAUGAUACCGCGAGACUAGAGUAAUGGAGGAGGAACCGGAAUGCUCGGUGUAGCAGUGAAAUGCGUAGAUAUCGAGAGGAACACUCGUGGCGAAGGCGGGUUCCUGGACAUUAACUGACGCUGAGGCACGAAGGCCAGGGGAGCGAAAGGGAUUAGAUACCCGUGUAGUC
rnacentral:rRNA from 1 species